AUACGUAGGGGGCGAGCGUUAAUCGGAUUUACUGGGCGUAAAGCGCGCGUAGGUGGCUAAUUAAGUCAAAUGUGAAAUCCCCGAGCUUAACUUGGGAAUUGCAUUCGAUACUGGUUGGCUAGAGUAUGGGAGAGGAUGGUAGAAUUCCAGGUGUAGCGGUGAAAUGCGUAGAGAUCUGGAGGAAUACCGAUGGCGAAGGCAGCCAUCUGGCCUAAUACUGACACUGAGGUGCGAAAGCAUGGGGAGCAAACAGGAUUAGAUACCCUGGUAGUCCAUGCCGUAAACGAUGUCUACUAGCCGUUGGGGGAUUUGAUCCUUUAGUGGCGCAGCUAACGCGAUAAGUAGACCGCCUGGGGAGUACGGUCGCAAGACUAAAACUCAAAUGAAUUGACGGG
rnacentral:rRNA from 1 species